rnacentral:rRNA from 1 species
UACGUAGGUGGCUAGCGUUGUCCGGAUUUACUGGGCGUAAAGAGCGCGCAGGCGGUCGUUCAAGUCGAGUGUGAAAGCCCCCGGCUCAACUGGGGAGGGUCAUUCGAUACUGAUCGACUUGAAGGCAGGAGAGGGAAGUGGAAUUCCCGGUGUAGUGGUGAAAUGCGUAGAUAUCGGGAGGAACACCAGUGGCGAAGGCGACUUCCUGGCCUGUUCUUGACGCUGAGGCGCGAAAGCUAGGGGAGCAAACGGG